AUACGUAGGGGGCGAGCGUUGUCCGGAAUGAUUGGGCGUAAAGGGCGCGUAGGCGGCCUGUUAAGUCUGGAGUGAAAGUCCUGUUUUCAAGAUGGGAAUUGCUUUGGAUACUGAUGGGCUUGAGUGCAGGAGAGGUUAUCGGAAUUCCCGGUGUAGCGGUGAAAUGCGUAGAGAUCGGGAGGAACACCAGUGGCGAAGGCGGGUAACUGGACUGCAACUGACGCUGAGGCGCGAAAGUGUGGGGAGCAAUCAGGAUUAGAUACCCUGGUAGUCCACACUGUAAACGAUGAAUGCUAGGUGUAAGAGGUAUCGACCCCUUUUGUGCCGGAGUCAACACAAUAAGCAUUCCGCCUGGGGAGUACGGCCGCAAGGUUGAAACUCAAAUGAAUUGACGGGG
rnacentral:rRNA from 1 species